GAUGUUAGUUUGUGCCUCCGGACUUUCCGUAGUUGGUUCGGAGGACAGGAAGUUAAUUACACCGCCGUUGUUGAUCUCUGAUUUAUGGCCUGAAAACGUUUACUUGUCGGUAAUGUUUUAUGUCCAGAUUCUGCAUCGUUACAUGUAGAUAAUGUUUUAUUUAUUAUUAAAUAAUAGAACCAGAAAAGACGUUAGUCGCUAAUCCGUACAUGCUAAAACGCUAGCAUCUCUAUGUUAUUUCGCAUAUAGGUUAGCAUUGAGCUCGCGGACUUUUUUUGUGUGGUUUAAACAUGCUGUUUUUAUGUUAUAUGUCAAUAUGUUUUUAUUUUUAUUUUAUUGUUUAUUGAUGUUCUUUAUUGGGGAAACGACGUUCGCUAGAUGCAGACAGGAGGCGCAGAAUACAAGGCUCUUGGCUGAGGUCUGGAUGUGAGACGUUGUUUCCUGCUGCUCUCAGGUGCCUUCAGGAGGUGGGCGGAGCCUGGUGUGAUUGGGGGAUGGGAAUCACCUGAGCCCUCAUGGUCCCCAGCCUUUAAAACCCGGUCCUUAUCAAG